rnacentral:rRNA from 1 species
GACGAAGGACCCAAGCGUUAUCCGGAUUCAUUGGGCUUAAAGGGCGCGUAGGCGGAUUGAUAAGUCAGUGGUGAAAUCUCCAAGCUUAACUUGGAAACUGCCAUUGAUACUGUCGAUCUUGAAUAUGGUUGAUGUGGGCGGAAUAUGACAUGUAGCGGUGAAAUGCUUAGAUAUGUCAUAGAACGCCGAUUGCGAAGGCAGCUCACAAAGCCAUUAUUGACGCUGAGGCACGAAAGUGCGGGGAGCAAACAGG